rnacentral:rRNA from 1 species
UACGUAGCAGCAAGCGUUGUUCGGAAUUACUGGGCGUAAAGGGCUCGUAGGCGGCCAACUAAGUCAGACGUGAAAUCCCUCGGCUUAACCGGGGAACUGCGUCUGAUACUGGAUGGCUUGAGUUUGGGAGAGGGAUGCGGAAUUCCAGGUGUAGCGGUGAAAUGCGUAGAUAUCUGGAGGAACACCGGUGGCGAAGGCGGCAUCCUGGACCAACACUGACGCUGAGUGAGCGAAAGCCAGGGGAGCAAACGGG